UAGAACUAGAUGAUGUAGAACCGGGUGAUGUCUCCAUCUUCCUGGUUCUAGCCAGAACUCCAGCAGCAGCGUUCUGGACCAAUCGUUGCUCUGGUCAGCCAGAGUUUAGAGUCGCCGGUCCGUCUGCCUGAGAGUUUACCUUUCUUGAUACUCUCAGCCUCUCCAUGUUCUUCUCUCCCGAGCUUCUGCGUUCUGCUACUCACCGUUGUGAUCUCCUCGUAGGUUUCCUCAGUGGUGCUCUGGGUGUAACUCUGUUGUUGCUAUCAUCUCGAUGUUAAAGCUUCCUGUAAAGAUUAUCUGCUUCAAGUUCUCUGACUGGUGACUACCCUUCUACUCCAAAGCGGAGCUGCAACCUGUCCACCUUCCAACAAACCACCCGGCAGUCUCCACCGUUCUCCAUCCGGAGCUCCAGUCACAGAACCAAACCUCUCUGGACUCAAAUUCCCAGGUGGAUCCUGUUCCCGCCUUAGCCGCCUGGCGGAUGUCUCCUAUCUCACCAUGGCCCACCAAUCCUGAUUAGCCCCCGCUUCCUGGACAAAGACACACAUUCUUAUUAUUAGUACUAUAAACUUUAUUUACUGAU